rnacentral:rRNA from 1 species
UAGGGAAUCUUCCGCAAUGGGCGAAAGCUUGACGGAGCAACGCCGCGUGAGUGAUGAAGGUCUUCGGAUCGUAAAACUCUGUUAUUAGGGAAGAACAAAUGUGUAAGUAACUAUGCACGUCUUGACGGUACCUAAUCAGAAAGCCACGGCUAACUACGUGCCAGCAGCCGCGGUAAUACGUAGGUGGCAAGCGUUAUCCGGAAUUAUUGGGCGUAAAGCGCGCGUCGGCGGUUUUUUAAGUUUGAUGUGAAAGCCCACGGGUCAACCGUGGAGGGUCAUUGGAAGCUUGAAAACUUGAGUGCAGAAGAGGAAAGUUGAAUUCCAUGUGUAGCGGUGAAAUGGGCAGAGAUAUGGAGGAACACCAGUGGCGAAGGCGACUUUCUGGUCUGUAACUGACGCUAAUGUGCGAAAGCGUGGGGAUCAAACAGG